CUGUAGGCCAGAUGUGGGAAACGCAAAAGCAGCAAACAGCCUUGCUGCUUCCUUUCUCCUAGAGGCGUGAAAUAAAAUACUUUGAAAUUGGUCCUUGGAGCGCCUCAAAUCGCGUCUCUCCGACUAUUCCAAUUAGCGAUCACUUUUCCACAAAACACUGCGAGGACCAUUUGCAGAAGAUCGAAACUUGCUAGCAUUUUAUCACUGUAAGAACCGACAUAAUUAAUUUUCCUCUGUGGUAAAACUAGACCGAGCCUUGAGUGUACGAAUCCAUAUUUACAGUUGGGAGACAGCUACUCUCGUCGACACGGGUUGUUUUCCUAGCCCGCUGCCAACAUCGGAGGGACUCUCAUUUUGAACUUGUCUGUGCACAGCAUCAAGUGUGCUCCUGGAAGAGAGGCAACGGCGAGGAAAUUCUAAAAGACGGAGUCCUAGUCUCAGAAGAAGUCGCCUGCAAUGUUGAGAGACAGAAAGAAAAUCCCUGGAGAUUCCACGUCUAACCCAGGCUAAAGGCGAAGCUCUACAGCGGUGUGUAGGAUAUCUCUCUCGCUCACUAUAGCCCUUGCCACCGAAGUACCAGACGCUUUUAGUGUGUGAAAGACAGGCGUUGAUUUAAUGUAUCUGGAAGGCAGAGGGGAUGGAGGAUGCAACUUAAUAAAUAUUCCUCUAUUUUCGCUCAUGAAAACAUCCAAAACAUCUUUCGGCGUUCGCAUUUAAUGACUGCAACGUGAAGGAUGGAGGUGAGAAGCAGUCGAGGGAAUGGCUCGUUUCUCUUGGUGUUGGCUCGGAAUUGUCAAACAGUUACUUUCUGUUCAUUGUAGGGAAAUAGGUCACACUUUGAGUGAAAAGGACAGUUGGUUCAAGCCAAUAACCCUUUGUUCAAGUGCUGUUUGACAGUCACUGAGCAGAACAUCGUUGCGUGAAGUUUCAUCUCCUGUCCAGUACCUUUAGAUACAUUAUUAAAUCCCAAAGUCAUAUUCCACGGAGCGCCUGGACGGAAUAUUUCGUCGAAAUGCGUCUUGCCAACCAACGUGUUAGCUCCCGUAAGGAAGCCUGCUGGCCUGGCCCGAGAACCCAGCCGCCAGGAUGGACACGAAUCCCUCAUUAGCAGUUCCAACUUGAAAAGCCAACUGGGCUGAUCCAACACCACCAUCCAGGAGAUACCCAAAAGCUCAAAAGGCAAUCUGUGCACCCACCCUACGGGAACCUUGCCCCUUCCUCUGCGUCUCCCUCCGGUUUUAAAUUGGGGUGAUUGCUAGUUCGCUUUCGGAUUUUUUCUCCCAGACAUUCGGGGGCUGCUUUUGUGGCUCCUUUGUUAACAGGCUGUCGUGCAGCUUUCCCCCCUUUUCUUUCUCCAGUGCCUAUUUGCCUGGUAUCGGCUCGUCUCCGGGGCAACCGCGGGGAAGAUUCGGAGCCCCAGGCGCCGGGAGGGGGGAAGGGGCGGAGCCCGGCGGAGUGGGGGCGGGGAGGGCGCGAGAGGAGGGGCGGAGGGAGUAGGUCAGGAGGAGACCCCAGGACCCAGGAGGAGCAGAUGGCCGCUCCGGGGCGGAGCCCGUGAGCGUCAGGGGAGAGGGGGAGCCAAUCCGUCCCCGCAGCAGCGCGGGAGCGAGCCAACGAGAGUAAACACGCGGGCUGUCCCCCCCGCGGUCCCUACUUUGCAGCUGAAGACGUGAUUUCCUUUGGAUAAGAAAGCUCAUUGCCAGUGCGGUUGGAAAGCUGGCGGUCCCCGGGAGAAUGGGUUGGGAGGCGGGUUUGGGCGGAGCUCUGAAGUCUCCCUCUCCCUUUCCUCCCCUCCCACCCCGACUCUGGCACCCACUAACCCUGGCGGGAAUGGAAAAGGCGGGUGGAUGGGAGAGCGGGGCGGGGCUGGGAAAAGGGAAGAGAUUGACUCUUGCUAUGAACCAUAAGGAAUGCCAGCAAGCUAUUGGAGCUGCUGAUAUUUACCUGCUGCAGUUCCCCCUACAGUUUGGUGGUCUCCCCGUGGAGUUAAGGGUUUUGGGGGGGGGAACCCGCCAAAUGCAUUUAUAUAAGUGAGAUUAAAGAACCCAGAAGGACAUUAAAAAUUGGAAGCAGGCGCCUACAGCCAAUUC
ensembl:processed_transcript 5930403N24Rik RIKEN cDNA 5930403N24 gene